AGCCCCGUGUGGUAGUAGGACAAUCCUGCCGGACUCUGGAUCCGGCGACGCCGGUUCGAAUCCGGCCGGGGCUA
rnacentral:tRNA from 1 species